rnacentral:rRNA from 1 species
AACGACUCUCGGCAACGGAUAUCUCGGCUCUCGCAUCGAUGAARAACGUAGCGAAAUGCGAUACUUGGUGUGAAUUGCARAAUCCCGUGAACCAUCGAGUCUUUGAACGCAAGUUGCGCCCGAAGCCAUCAGGCCRAAGGCACGUCUGGCUGGGUGUCACGCAACG